AACGAACGCUGGCGGCAUGCCUAACACAUGCAAGUCGAACGAGGGCUUCGGCCCUAGUGGCGCACGGGUGAGUAUCACGUGAGCAACCUGCCUCAGAGACCGGGAUAACUCGAGGAAACUCGGGCUAAUACCGGAUGCCCUCGGUGGACCGCAUGGUCCGGCGAGGAAAUGGAUUCCGCUCUGAGAUGGGCUCGCGGCCUAUCAGCUUGUUGGUGGGGUAACGGCCUACCAAGGCAACGACGGGUAGCUGGUCUGAGAGGACGAUCAGCCACACUGGGACUGAGACACGGCCCAGACUCCUACGGGAGGCAGCAGUAGGGAAUCUUGCGCAAUGGGGGAAACCCUGACGCAGCGACGCCGCGUGCGGGAUGAAGGCCUUCGGGUCGUAAACCGCUUUCAGCAGGGACGAAAUUGACGGUACCUGCAGAAGAAGGCCCGGCCAACUACGUGCCAGCAGCCGCGGUGAUACGUAGGGGUCUAGCGUUGUCCGGAAUCAUUGGGCGUAAAGAGCUCGUAGGCGGUUCGAUUAGUCGGGUGUGAAAUCUCCACGCUCAACGUGGAGGGGCCACUCGAUACUGUCGUGACUCGAGUCCGGUAGGGGAGUUCGGAAUUCCCGGUGUAGCGGUGAAAUGCGCAGAUAUCGGGAGGAACACCAGUGGCGAAGGCGGAACUCUGGGCCGGAACUGACGCUGAGGAGCGAAAGCGUGGGGAGCGAACAGGAUUAGAUACCCUGGUAGUCCACGCCGUAAACGUUGGGCACUAGUGUGGGACUCUAUCGACGGGUUCCGUGCCGUAGCUAACGCAUUAAGUGCCCGCCUGGGGAGUACGGCCGCAAGGCUAA
rnacentral:rRNA from 1 species